UCUCUAGUGGCUCAGAUGGUAAAGUGUCUGUCUGCAAUGCAGGAGACUCUGGUUCGAUCCCUGGGUUGGGAA
rnacentral:tRNA from 1 species